GAUGAACGCUGGCGGCGUGCCUAAUACAUGCAAGUCGAGCGAACGGACGAGAAGCUUGCUUCUCUGAUGUUAGCGGCGGACGGGUGAGUAACACGUGGAUAACCUACCUAUAAGACUGGGAUAACUUCGGGAAACCGGAGCUAAUACCGGAUGAUAUUUUGAACCGCAUGGUUCAAAAGUGAAAGACGGUCUUGCUGUCACUUAUAGAUGGAUCCGCGCUGCAUUAGCUAGUUGGUAAGGUAACGGCUUACCAAGGCAACGAUGCAUAGCCGACCUGAGAGAGUGGUCGGCCACGCGGGAACUGAGACACGGUCCAGACUCCUGCGGGAGGCAGCAGUAGGGAAUCUUCCGCAGAGGGCGAAAGCCUGACGGAGCAACGCCGCGUGAGUGAUGAAGGUCUUCGGAUCGUAAAACUCUGUUAUUAGGGAAGAACAUAUGUGUAAGUAACUGUGCACAUCUUGACGGUACCUAAUCAGAAAGCCACGGCUAACUACGUG
rnacentral:rRNA from 1 species